GCGGGUUGGGUCGGGGUGAAUACGGGGCUGGAGGUUAUCGCCGUGCGAGGCGGGCAGCCUCAGGCGUGGUGGUGGACGCCGUUGGAGCAAAAUAUAAAAAGCAGGAGAGGCCGAUCGUAAAGUGGAUGGUAAACACGUGUCGGAGCAAUAAAGGUUAAUAAGAGCGUGAGAUUUUUAUGGGGCUGUUUACGAGGAGGAAGUAGGGAGGCUGCGUUAUAAUAAAGCACGGAACCUUUACUCCUUCGAAUUCCCGAGGAUUCGUGGCUCGGACGUUCUCACCUUCAAGGCACGGGCAUUCUUUCUGCCAGAAGUCGUCUGUGCGUUUUUCAAAGGCUGCAGCUUUUUCCCAUUGUACUGCUUCAGUGUGCUCCUGGGGUGUGUUUCGACAGGAGCUCCCUUGAUCUAGAAGAAAACUUGGUGGAGAUGUUCACCUUAAAACAUGCUUUGCUUCUGAUCUGCAAGAGCUCGGCCUUCCUGAGCAUCUUGAUUUGUUUUAUUUCUUGUUUUUUGCUUGUGUCUGUCUGUCGCUUCAGGCUUAGAUCUUUGAACUAGCAGUCACAAUAAUUGCUGAAUAACCUCCUAGUGCCUUUAGCUGUCUUUUCUAUUGCUUUUUUUUAUAGAAUAGCUUAUCAGCUAGAUUAAAACACUGCAGUGACUUGGCACCACGUGUACACAGUAAACUUUUUUUUCUUCAUUCCCCUUAGCUGUAUUCUUGGGAGCUCUGUAACGUGAGGUAUCUGUAUGCAGGUCUGUAAGAGGCAGCUUUACUGGAAAGAAUAUUGCUGUGGCACAUGUUUAAAAAUCCUUACACCUUUACUGUGUUAUAGGAAAUGGGAAGGUGGGUGCAGCAUGCAUCCAGCAGGUUUAUGUCCUGUUGCAUCUCUGCUGAUGAGGAGACCUCUGGGUACAGACAGAAUUUAUAUAUCUGUUCCAGGACCUGCCUGCACCUCUACGUACCAGCAGAAGCCUUAAGUAGGGAUAAUGUGAGAUUUGCUACUGAAGCAGCUGCAGUAGCCCAGUGUUCUCAGAUAUGUUUCAGCAUUCUUGUUUAUCAGACUUGACCUGAGUUUCUUAAUGCUUUACUACGAUCGGGGCAUUUUCAGUAUUGCUUCUUGUCUUUUAGUUUAUCAUUCCCCAGGAGUUUUUGCAGAUAUUUGUUGCCUUGGUAACUGCCCUUAGGUGAGAAGUACCGUUUUAAUUCAUUGGUCAGAAAAAAAACCACAAAACACAACAGUAUAAAUCAAAGCAAAAUAAAAUACUGAAUUGUUUAUUGGAAUGGGAGUUGUAAAUUAAGAAAAGUUGUGUGGGCCCUCUAAUGAUAUUUCUCUUGAGGGUUUGCAACACAGUAUCUUGAAUUGUUAUCCUAUUGCAAGGUUUUUUUGAGGCAGGAGAGAGGUUUUGGUGGAAGAAGUAUCCAGCUUCUUAAUGUACUUCAUCUUGACACAGAGCUGCCUGUGCUACAUGGAAAAAUGCCAGAUACCAAUUCUUCUGUUUCCACUUGAUUGUCCUGCCAAGAUGCUUUGUGUUUGGGGCAUAAGAGUGAAAAAAGAGCCUUUCAGCAUUUGCACUUCCAGGAAUUCCCAGAUGUCAUUUAAGCAUCAUCUUGUUCACGCUUGAUCCAAGCGCAUAAAGCUAAAAUAUACAUUAGGGGAAGGAGAUCUGGAUAGGACAAAGGAGAAAAUAUAAACUGCUUUAAAGCUAUGGGGCAGAUAAAUCUGCAAAGACUUGCUGUAGGGUUGAAUAGCUCACGGCUCUGAACUGUGGUAGACAAAGCAGGUGUGUUUGUUUAUGACAGCAAUGUGAUGGGGCCUGGUUGUCAUCUCAGGUAAAGGAAGUCUUUCUGACAUCUUGAUAAGCGUGGAACUUUCAGCCAUUUUAGCUCCGUAUGUUGCAGAAGAAAGAACAUAACUCUCCCUUCACCCUGAAUUCAGCCAGCAACAGUGAGGAGCAAGUAGUGAGGACCCCAGGCUGAGCAGGAGUCUUCAUUAAACUCAGAAGAGAAUUUCAGUUUUGGAGGUAGCUUGUGUGAGUUUAUUUACUUUGUGAAAGCUUUAUCUCGGAACUGGAAUCAUGGUCCAUGAGCUGUCUUUGUCCCAUGUGCACGCGUUGUCAUACUGUCUUCAAUCUUCUCAGUAUGUUGUGGUCUGUUUUUUAAUUUGCAUUGGCCAUUUUACUGGCUGCCCUGCUAGAGUGCUAGGGGCAACCUGCACAGUUUGGUAGCCAGUCUGUACUGUUGUAGACCUAGAACUAAUUUAAUGAUUUGACUUGAUGUGAUAUCUUUAGACUAAGAUGAUACAAAGCGGUCUUAGAAUUACCUGUUAGAUUACAUAUGUUGGUUAAAAUUAGUUGUAAAUGUAAUUUGGAAUAGCUGGUUUAGAUAUUGCAGGCAAAUGAGUAGGCACUUUGGGCUCUUUAUCCUUGUCAGCAGCACAUCUCGAGGAGGUCUUAAGUGAGGAUGUGAGUGAGAGGGUGAGUGGUUGCUGAGCGUGCAUUGUGUCAUGUUGGUACAUAGCAGGCUUCCCUUUGCAGAGAAAUGUUUUCUCUGCGGUUGCAUGCUAUGUGUUCUCUCAGAACCAAUUUCUUGAUUAUUAGAAAAACUCAGCUGAAGUUCCAGAAUGGCUUAUAUUGCUUUUGCUUGAAAUUAAUUCAAGUUUUUCAGAACCUUGGUCUGAAAAUAGGUCUUUGCUGUAGCUUUCACUUCUGUCUGCAGGCUGUUUUGUACUAUGCCUUUCAUAAUAAUAACAUCGUUCUUAUUUGCUAGAUUUCAGCAUUACACAUGUCAAAGUAAAUCCGUCAUUCUUCAAACAUCUUAUUUAAAAUUCAGUUUUUCACUGCAUCCGUAAAUAUUCUUUGCUAUUUUUUACUCAAAGUGUGUGGUUCAAAAGCAAUUGCAGCAUAUAUAUAUCUGGGAUAUCCACAAAUGCUUCAGAAUCAGUUGGCUUUCCAACUGAGGAUUCGUGCCUGUUUUCCCAAACCAGAGGAGAUGGUUAUUUAUGAAGUCUGUAACUGAAGUAUCUGGCAUCGUUCAAGUCCACGUACGAAAGUGAUAGCAUCUUGCUUAACUUACUCUAGAGAUUUGCAGGAUGGAUACCAAGCAUCCUAAUACAUGCAAACAUUUUACAAGGUAAAGCUUUGAAUGGUUCUUCCUGUGGGAAAGCAAUGAAAUAAUGAUCUUUCAGGAACAGAAAUAUUUUGAAUGUCAUCUCUAGGUCUUGCAGUUCCCAUAGGUAAAACAGUGUGAAGGAAACUCUUCUCUCAUUGACAGUGCUAGAUUCCCUUCUAGAUCACUGUCUUAAAAUCUCCCUGCCACCUCAGCUGUACCUGCUCAUUAUUUACUGUCCACAAAUUCCUGUUUUCUAUUUAAGCUUUUAAGUAAUAAUUAAAAAAAAAAGAAGUCUUGUGACAACUUGACUUAGUGAAGAAUUGCAUUUCUUCUCUGUAUUGUCUUGCCUGUCUUUGUGUUAUGACUGCAGAGUGCUUAGCACGAUUCCUGAGUAGAACAGUGAAGAGUCCUUGCACAAUCAAAAGAGCUGUUAGGAUUUACUGUUGGGAAUGAUCAAUGUGUAAGGUCUUCGGAGAAGGGGUUGCGUAUUUACUUCAGGGGUUUUGACUGCUCAGAAGCUUGUGUGAGUGCAUUUCUGGUUCUGUGGUACUAUGUUCCUAGUAUAGCUGAAAGUUACAGCUUACACUUACUCAGAUGAGAAAACUUUUCUGCUAGAAUUUCUAACUUAGUUCCUUACCACCACAUAAAAUACAUGAUACACUAAAUAGAAGGAACGGGCAGCAGCACAGGGAGAAAAGGUUCAAAAAGACUGCUGUAAUUAGCUUUUGGGCAAAAAAUGCCAAGCGUGUGUGUGCUUCCAAAACCAACAAGGGAGACCUGGCCAGUUCAGCAGUUCUUGAAAUGUUGGUAAACGUGGGGAUUCCCUGGAAGGGAGGUUUUUGUCUCUCUUCCAAGUUGCUGCCAAAUUCUAUUGGGUAAAGAAGAGCAUUGGUAGUUUCUGUGUUGAUGAGGUGGACUUCAGCAAAGUGAACUUGGACUCAUUUCAAAACAGUGACGACUCCUUUAAGUUUGUACACUUCAGUCUUUUCUUUCCGUACAGAGCAUGAUGGUGAACGAGUGUGUGCGUGUGUGGAGGAACUUGUCUGAGCCAUGGGCUCUGUCAGAGACCAUGUAUGGGUAAAGCACUUGGGCCAGUUCAGCCCUCUGCUCCUCCCUCCUGGAGAGCCGAGCAGAAUCCCUUCUGCUGAAAUGCUUGUUCCACUUUCUAUAUUUGUACAGCAGCAGCAGCAGCUAGCUAAGCGGUGUGGCCGGCCUUGUGUGUGUGUGUGCGGCAUUUGCUGAGCGGAAUUGAGAGCAGGGUCACGGUCUCUGUCGUUACGUCUGUCUGUCUGUCUGCGUCUGGGGAAGACUGGCAUUCCGAGUGAAAGAACCCACGCUCAAGCAACUAUGAAAACAUCUGGCUAUCGGCCUCUGGUGCUCAACUGGGGUGAAUCUGCAUGCAGGAGCAUGCCAGCUGUGUGUACCUUCAUCUGAGAGUGAAGACUGGAAGUGCUAGAGAAGUGCAUAGCUGCAGGUAUGAACCAACUACAGUUUGUGGCCCACAGUUGCUUAUUGGAGUUUCAUGUCAAACGUUCAGAGAGAAGUUGUCUUUACUUUCAGUGAUGAAAGCAGUCACUCUCUACUCCAGCGAGCAGCAUUCCCUCAACCUUAAGCUCUUUGGAGUUUGCUGCCCUUGUGCUGCUGAAGGGUGUUGGGAGUGUAAACAAUUUAGGACUGCUAGUAACUGGCUAAUAGGCUCGUUUAGCUUCAUCUGUAACUUAAUAGUUUUAUAAAUGUAAGUAACUACAAAGUAGGAUUGUGUGUCAUGAUAGUAAUUCAUUCACUGGAAUAAAUCUCAAGUAUUCUAUUGUACAUAAAACCUUAAAGAUAUUAGUGGAAAAUCUCUGAACAGGCAUUAGUUGCAGCAUAAAAGGAAAAUAUUUGUAUGUAAAUGCUUGGAGCUAAAUGUGAGGAUUUUCUGAAGCAGUUCUGCUGAUGCCUGAAGUCCAGUAAGAGUGUAGUUUCAUGAGCCAGUUCCUCCUUCCUGCUUUAUUUG